GUCCGCAUAGUUUAACAAAAACACUAGACUGUGAAACUAGAAAUAGAAAUAUUCUUGCGAACC
rnacentral:tRNA from 1 species